UUCAGACGUGUGCCUUCUGAUCUCAUCCUCCUGACCUUAUCCCAAUUUUACUUGGGGUCGGCGCAGCAUCUCUUCUUCUUCCAUACUUCUCUGUUGGACGUCAUCUCACUAGUAAUAUUCUUUCUAACCAUAUCGUCUCACACAAUCCAUCCAUCCUUUCUUUGGUCGUCCCCUACCUCUAUAUCCAUCUACAUCCAUUCUCAAGACCUUUCUCA